ensembl:lncRNA
GUAGAAGAUGCUGACAAUAGCUGCUUGGAUCCUAAAUUUCUCUCUGCUUCUGCAUCACAUGCUGCAUUUAAAAAAAACAACCACCACCCUGAUUCUACACAGUAAUAUCCAUCCAUCUAUCCAUCCAUCCAUUUUCUGUACUGCUUAUUCUACACAGGGUCACGGGGGAGCCUGGAGCCUAUCCCAGGGAACUCGGGGCACAAGGCAGGGGGCAGCCUGGAUGGAGUGCCAACCCGCCGCAGGGCACAAUCACACACCCAUUCACACACUACAGACAAUUUAGAGAUGCCAAUGUCUUUGGACUGGGUGAGGAAACCAGAAUACCGAGAGGAAGCCCUCAAAGUAUGGGGAGAACAUGCAAACCCACACAGUGCGGAGGCAGGAUUCAAACUCCCAACCCCAUCAUACAACAUUGCAAAUGCAUUAUUUGAAAUUCCAAGUACUAUAUAUUAAAGAAUGCUAUAAUGAGUUUGGCAAUAAAUGUCCUGUGCAUAACCAGACUGAAUAGGGCCUGUCUAUGAUCAGGUCUAGAGAUUAAACCGGCAUAAACACAGAGGCCAGGUGAAAUCUGGAGCAUACAGACAUUCUAGACUAAAAUAAAUGAUUUAAUAGUCUAGAGUGUGGACAGAGAGUGGGGUAAAUAGGCAGUGAUGAUAGGAGAGAACAAAAACAGAGAAGCCCUGCCCCUGCUUAAGUGUAGGAGUGUGCUUCAAAGAUCUGCUUGUUCGCCCCACGCCUGUCAAGUUCAAGAGUCAAAGAAUAAAGCUGAAAAUAUCUCUCUUCAGCUCCUCUCAUCUGGAGCACCACAUGAGCAAUGAAGGAGUGCAGUUAUUGACUUUAACACCAACUGAAGAGUGACUUUGCACUUCAACUGACCUGGAAGGUGAGAAGAGAGCCUGGGGUCCCUGAGAGACAUGGCAUGAAGAAUGUUACUCAUGGCCUGCAUCCUAGCUGGUUCCAUUUCAUUCUCUGUCAUCAAGCCAGUUCCUUCACAACAGCCCAAGGAACCAAAACAUGGGUGUGUGCCAUGAAAACUCUCUCUCUCUCUCUCCCCCUCUCUCUCUCUCUCUCUCUCUCUCUCUCUCUCUCUCUCUCUCUCUUUAUCUAUGUGUAAGAGUUUAAUUUGCUUGGCCACUAAUGUGAAAUCGUGCUUGUUUGUUCUAUUUUCAGUUACUGCCUUUGUCCUUGUUUUCAGAAACUUUUUAUGGGUGUAUAAAGGACACUAAGGGGCCAUUCCAGACUGGUGCUAUCUGUUAUCUGGGAGUUUCUGUUCUUUCAGUUCUCUCCCAUGUAAAUUAUGUUCUGAUAUAAUAUUGUCAUAGCAAUGUUCUCCAUUUCUU